GAUGAACGCUGGCGGCGUGCCUAACACAUGCAAGUCGAGCGAUUUACUUCGGUAAAGAGCGGCGGACGGGUGAGUAACGCGUGGGUAACCUGCCCUGUACACACGGAUAACAUACCGAAAGGUAUGCUAAUACGAGAUAAUAUGCUUUUAUCGCAUGGUAGAAGCAUCAAAGCUUUUGCGGUACAGGAUGGACCCGCGUCUGAUUAGCUAGUUGGUAAGGUAACGGCUUACCAAGGCGACGAUCAGUAGCCGACCUGAGAGGGUGAUCGGCCACAUUGGAACUGAGACACGGUCCAAACUCCUACGGGAGGCAGCAGUGGGGAAUAUUGCACAAUGGGCGAAAGCCUGAUGCAGCAACGCCGCGUGAGCGAUGAAGGCCUUCGGGUCGUAAAGCUCUGUCCUCAAGGAAGGUAAUGACGGUACUUGAGGAGGAAGCCCCGGCUAACUACGUGCCAGCCGCCGCCGUAA
rnacentral:rRNA from 1 species